AUAUAUUUUGAUGGCGCUUUGCAGUCCAUUUCAACCGAGAAACUGGAAAAUGCGUUUGAUUUCAAACUAGAAAAUUGUCUUUUACUACAUCAGCCUGGCCAGGAGAUUUUGUGGUUGACGACUUAUUCACAGUUGAUACUCAUUCACGAAAUCGUUAUUUAUACGAGUGUUUCAGAUUCUCCAUCUAGGAAAUUUAACGUCGAACUUUACGACUUUGAAAAGAAUAUCAUAUUGAACUAUACGUCGAACACAUCUACGUCUGUUCACGCUAUGAACUUGGGCGGAGAGUUCGAGAUUCAUUUGUUAAUUAUCAAAAGUUUUGAAAUAUUAUCCCUUUGUGAGAUUCAAGCUUUUGGUGAAUGUCCGAGAGGAAAGUACGGUCUGUCUUGCAAGGAAAUAUGUUUAAUCAUGUGCUACGAACACACCUGUCAGUUUUCUGGAAUAUGUAAAAAGUGUGAACAGAACAGACAUGGAGCCUAUUGUGUGG